GGCUCGUUAGUUUCUACGGACUCAUAAUCCGUUGGUCGAUGGUUCAAGCCCAUCACGGCCUACCA
rnacentral:tRNA from 1 species